UAAAUAUAGGUAUGACCUUGUAACGUGGUGAAGCAGUCGAUGGUUCGUCGGCUACUCCGCCACGUACAUUGAUUAGGAUUUACCCUAUCGAGAUUUCGGGGAACGGGGGUUUCGAGGAAUAAAACCCGGAUUACUAUCUAACGUGCUUAUUUAUUUACAACCUUAACCUAUUUUGCUACAGGCUAGUUUUAUUUACACUCGUUAUCGAACACGCGGGUAUAUCGGCACGGCGAUUCGAAAUGCUACAGUACGGAACCUACCACCCUUCUUGCGGUGCGGAACUCUAACGUGUCGCGGGACUCUAAUCAACGGACGACCGAGGGGUGGGUGUCGCGCGCGCGAGGGGAGAGACGGCGGAGCUGGUUACGGGGCAACGGGUUGCCGCGUACUCCAACACCUCCAGCGUCUAUUCUGUGGUGGCGUCUGCCCGAGUUCCCACGAGCCGACCCAGUGCCCACAGAACGACUGACUGCAGUCGGCGGCCGCGGGCGUUAUAUACCCGCCCGCGGGUGUCGGUCGGCGGGAGGGCGGCGCGGAUCAUGCAUUCGCGGCGUGGCUGGAAUUUUCCAUCAUAUCUCGUCGGUGCGGGUACUUCGUGCUCGCUU